rnacentral:rRNA from 1 species
GACGAACGCUGGCGGCGUGCUUAACACAUGCAAGUCGAACGGAAAGGCCCUGCUUUUGUGGGGUGCCCGAGUGGCGAACGGGUGAGUAACACGUGAGUAACCUGCCCUUGACUUUGGGAUAACUUCAGGAAACUGGGGCUAAUACCGGAUAGGAGCUCCUGCUGCAUGGUGGGGGUUGGAAAGUUUCGGCGGUUGGGGAUGGACUCGCGGCUUAUCAGCUUGUUGGUGGGGUAGUGGCUUACCAAGGCUUUGACGGGUAGCCGGCCUGAGAGGGUGACCGGCCACAUUGGGACUGAGAUACGGCCCAGACUCCUACGGGAGGCAGCAGUGGGGAAUAUUGCACAAUGGGCGGAAGCCUGAUGCAGCAACGCCGCGUGCGGGAUGACGGCCUUCGGGUUGUAAACCGCUUUCGCCUGUGACGAAGCGUGAGUGACGGUAAUGGGUAAAGAAGCACCGGCUAACUACGUGCCAGCAGCCGCGGUGAUACGUAGGGUGCGAGCGUUGUCCGGAUUUAUUGGGCGUAAAGGGCUCGUAGGUGGUUGAUCGCGUCGGAAGUGUAAUCUUGGGGCUUAACCCUGAGCGUGCUUUCGAUACGGGUUGACUUGAGGAAGGUAGGGGAGAAUGGAAUUCCUGGUGGAGCGGUGGAAUGCGCAGAUAUCAGGAGGAACACCAGUGGCGAAGGCGGUUCUCUGGGCCAUUCCUGACGCUGAGGAGCGAAAGCGUGGGGAGCGAACAGGCUUAGAUACCCUGGUAGUCCACGCUGUAAACGGUGGGUACUAGGUGUGGGGUCCAUUCCACGGGUUCCGUGCCGUAGCUAACGCUUUAAGUACCCCGCCUGGGGAGUACGGCCGCAAGGCUAAAACCCAAAGGAAUUGACGGGGCCCCGCACAAGCGGCGGAGCAUGCGGAUUAAUUCGAUGCAACGCGUAGAACCUUACCUGGGUUUGACAUGGAUCGGGAGUGCUCAGAGAUGGGUGUGCCUCUUUUGGGGUCGGUUCACAGGUGGUGCAUGGCUGUCGUCAGCUCGUGUCGUGAGAUGUUGGGUUAAGUCCCGCAACGAGCGCAACCCUUGUUCACUGUUGCCAGCACGUUAUGGUGGGGACUCAGUGGAGACCGCCGGGGUCAACUCGGAGGAAGGUGGGGAUGACGUCAAGUCAUCAUGCCCCUUAUGUCCAGGGCUUCACGCAUGCUACAAUGGCUGGUACAGAGAGUGGCGAGCCUGUGAGGGUGAGCGAAUCUCGGAAAGCCGGUCUCAGUUCGGAUUGGGGUCUGCAACUCGACCUCAUGAAGUCGGAGUCGCUAGUAAUCGCAGAUCAGCAACGCUGCGGUGAAUACGUUCCCGGG